UACGUAGGGUGCAAGCGUUUAAUCGGAAUUACUGGGCGUAAAGCGUGCGCAGGCGGUUAUGUAAGACAGAUGUGAAAUGCCCGGGCUUAACCUGGGAACUGCAUUUGUGACUGCAUGGCUAGUAGUUGGCAGAGGGGGGUAGAAUUCCACGUGUAGCAGUGAAAUGCGUAGAUAUGUGGAGGAACACCGAUGGCGAAGGCAGCCCCCUGGGAUAACACUGACGCUCAUGCACGAAAGCGUGGGGAGCAAACAGG
rnacentral:rRNA from 1 species